rnacentral:sRNA from 1 species
UGGUAGAUGCACCUUGAUCUUGACUCCCAUGUAGGUUAACACCUUUUGGGAGUUUUUCU